CUGAUCUUUCGAAUGGUAAAGUUAUGUAGAAAUGUGACUCAUCUAAGCAACGUGAUUGCGUAGCUAGCUUUGGAGGAGGAAUUAGAGCAAGAGAUUUGUGAGGACCCGCAUUAAGUAAGGCUGAAUUGGUUUCUAAACUUCAAGCUUCUAAGAAAGUGAAACAAGUACUCGAAGGAAAGUUCAAUGAUAUGGUGCAAGAAGUGUUAGAAAUUAAGCAUCUUGUGUCUGGUAAAUCUCUAAAUCAUAGUUCCCAUGAAAGACAACAUGAUAAAGUAAGUUCUCAUACAUUGAUUUUAUAUGUUACUAUACGUUGUGCCAAUUUAUUUACAUGGACUGAGUUUCAUAACCUACUCAACAUUUUGUAGGACUGAUGGUGCACCGUAAUAUAUAGAAGCAUUAGGAGGCAUUGUAAUGGCGGAUGAAGAUAUCCAUUCAAACAACGAGUGGUGCCCCUCGAUUGAAGAUUAAUUAAUAUUAUAUUUUCUAGUUGUCACGUUUUCUAGAUAGAUAUGGUCAAGUACAUUGGUCAUAUAUAUAAGGAGUGCUUUUGACUCAAAUUUUGUUUAAUGAUAUUUUAAUUUCAGAAUUGUAUGUCAGAAUAUUGGUAUUUCUAUUAAUAAAUGUGGCUAUGACCCUUUUAAUUCAGAUUAGUUUUUAUAUCAAUGUGGA
rnacentral:lncRNA from 1 species